AAAAAGUGGUGUAGAGAAAAGCCCGUAGGAUUUUGAUUCCUAAAGAAAAAAUUAAAUAUUUUUCUUUUU